CACGAAGUUAGCCGGUGCUUAUUCUGUUGGUAACGUCAAAAUUGCAGGGUAUUAACCUACAACCCUUCCUCCCAACUUAAAGUGCUUUACAACCCGAAGGCCUUCUUCACACACGCGGCAUUGCUGGAUCAGGGUUGCCCCCAUUGUCCAAUAUUCCCCA
rnacentral:rRNA from 1 species